AUAAAUUGUAUAUUCGAACAACAUGUUGGAAUCGUAAUUAUACAUUCUUACAAUGCAGUUUUGGGUGUGUGUGUGUGUGACGUACAACAUCUGAUUUAUUUAUUUUUUAUAUUUUUUUUCCACUCAACUCCUAAGUAAUGAUUUAUUAUUACUAUUUGAAUCUAGUCAUGAUACGAUGACGUCGUUUCAAUGGGUAAAUAAAUAUAGACUGUUUCGUUUUUGGGUUAAUAGUUGUUUCUUCCCUCUACAAGUACCUUUUCUGGUGGGGGAUAUGAAUAUUGGCUAAAUCACGAUGAACAUAAAUUGGAAAGAAAAGUAGAUUUUGGUAAAAGCAAAAUAUAAAUAAUCUUAUUCAUUAUUCCUAAUGUUGUGUGUUCCUUAUUUAUUAGGUCCGGUCCAGGCUUUAGAGUUAUAAUUGUAAGUCCUGAUUUGACUCGGAGUAGAAUUAAGGAUCGACAUCGUAGUAAUUCUUGUCAAUGUCCUUUCUCUUUUAUCACAGCAGAUUGUAGCUGAUCUCCUCCAAAACAUUCUUCAAUUUGUGAGGGUUUCCAUAUUGAUUUUUUUAACAUGUCCAUUGUACACACAAUUUAUGUCACUAUUUAUAGGUUUUUAGGGUUUGAUACAGGACUGAACUGGACAGGUCUGCUGUCUUCUAACGUAUUAGUGAUAGUGUUGCAUCACCCCGCCCCACUCUCCACACACACUUUCCGUCUUUUUUUAAUCGCUAGGAUUGCAGAAAAUAAGAAUUUGGACAAUAUUUCCAUCCCUAAUUUAAUCCUAGUUGAAGUAUAAGUUGUUGAACAAAGAAGAAAAAUAUUAUUUUUGGAUAAAACAAAGAAGAAAUCCCAAGUCAUUGAAGAUAUCAUAGACCUUUAAAUUAAAUAGAGCGUACAAUAUUUGUUCUAGUGUUGAGACUCGGUCCAGCACCGAUUUU
rnacentral:lncRNA from 1 species